rnacentral:lncRNA from 1 species
CAAGAAUGUAAUGACAGAUACUGGGUUUUGGCCAGGAAACUUUGCCUAAUACGCCCUUUCUUGUGAAGAGCAUCGUUGGCUCCGCUCUGAACAAAAGUAGCCAGGCUGCAGGUUUUGGAUCUUUUCCAGGUGAUGGCAUCUCUGCAGUCAUGCUGCUCCAUUACAUUACAUCAUGGGCUUGAACAGCUGCCUGAGGUACUGCUUCCUCUGGUGCGCAGGCUUCUCUUCUGGACACUUUAUCCUUACCCAUCCUCUGCUCCAGGAUGAGCCUGAAGGGAUUGUAGCAUCUCCUGGGAUGAGUCCAGGCUGGUGUGAUGGUGUUGGCUGUCUGUGAAUCUGCCCUA